rnacentral:sRNA from 1 species
UAGUUGUAGGUAUACCAAAUCAUUGAUGA